CGGGCAGUAGCUCAGUGGUAGAGCUCCCCCUUCGUGUGCGGGAAGACUUAAGUUCGAUUCUCGGCUGCUUAC
rnacentral:tRNA from 1 species